rnacentral:rRNA from 1 species
UACGAAGGGGGGCUAGCGUUGCUCGGAAUGACUGGGCGUAAAGGGCGCGUAGGCGGCGUGCACAGUCGGAUGUGAAAUUCCUGGGCUUAACCUGGGGGGCUGCAUUCGAUACGUGCAUGCUUGAGUGCGGAAGAGGGUCGUGGAAUUCCCAGUGUAGAGGUGAAAUUCGUAGAUAUUGGGGAAGAACACCGGUGGCGAAGGCGGGUCACUGGGCCGAAACUGACGCUGAGGAGCGAAAGCGUGGGGAGCAAACAGG